rnacentral:rRNA from 1 species
UACGUAGGGUGCGAGCGUUUAAUCGGAAUUACUGGGCGUAAAGCGUGCGCAGGCGGUCUGUUAAGACCGAUGUGAAAAUCCCCGGGCUUAACCUGGGAACUGCAUUGGUGACUGGCAGGCUUUGAGUGUGGCAGAGGGAGGUAGAAUUCCACGUGUAGCAGUUGAAAAUGCGUAGAGAUGUGGGAGGAAUACCGAUGGCGAAGGCAGCCUCCUGGGCCAAACACUGAACGUCAUGCACGAAAAGCGUGGGGGAGCAAAACAGGG